rnacentral:rRNA from 1 species
UACGUAGGGGGCAAGCGUUAUCCGGAUUUACUGGGUGUAAAGGGAGCGUAGACGGCUUUGCAAGCCAGAUGUGGAAGCCCGGGGCUCAACCCCGGGACUGCAUUUGGAACUGUGUGGCUAGAGUGUCGGAGAGGCAGGCGGAAUUCCUAGUGUAGCGGUGAAAUGCGUAGAUAUUAGGAGGAACACCAGUGGCGAAGGCGGCCUGCUGGACGAUGACUGACGUUGAGGCUCGAAAGCGUGGGGAGCAAACAGG